rnacentral:lncRNA from 1 species
UUGUUCCUACAAUAAAGUCUGUGGCUGUGAUGCUCACAGUAUAUGAGACCUAAUAUUCCACCAUGCUAUUUCUAUUCAAGAGUCACACCAAAUGCUAAAUUAUACUUUCUUCAAUUAAAAAAAAGAUUUAAACAACACUGUCCCCCGCCCUCCAAUUCUCUUGGUUUUCUGAAAUCAGGAUGAAUCAACACAAGCAAUAAGGAACAUGCUGGAAACUUGUAUCCCAGAGUUGAAAUAUCUAGAAAGACUAAUCCAUUUCUGAUUUUGUUUUUGUUUUUUUUUAAAGUUAUGAAGCUACAGCCCUGUUUACAUUCCAGUGAAGUAUUUUAGCAAUUUAUAGCUAAUUUGUCAAUGGUCAUGCAGCUGUAGGCUGUGCAGUUGGAAAACAAAAUAGACUGUACCUCUCCCUUCACGUUUACAUAGACUCUGAAAGCCUGGUGCAGCGCAGGAUGCGAGCCCCCAGAGUCAUUAGGAAGGUCCACCAGCCUCUGAGGGUGGAGGGAUGUUUGCAUUAUAACCCAACACAUCAUUAAGGACACAAUUGUUAUUUAAUGUGGCACAAUCAUCUUUCUACCCUUCGUGAAAUGCACUUAAUUCUAUUUUGUGCCAAUUUCUCCUUCCUCAGAUCCCCUCUAGAUCCUCCCAGAAGGACCACAGCUACUGUUGGUGAGGAUGGCAGUACCCGGAGCCAAUGCAGACACCAUUCAUCCAUCUGCAGGCACCGCAGGGGCCAGCAGCCAGACCACCACUUCCCAGUCCCGGAAGCUGUGGCAUCUAUAAAUAACAUUGUAGCACUACAUAAGGUGAGAGAAACCAGUGCUGCACGAAUUGUACAAUGAAGAAUUUUGAAUAAAAAGGGAUUUAAAUGGUACUUUGGUUUCAAUAGUAAAAUUAAAAGGAUGAUCAAACCACAGAAGAGAAAUAAACAGAUGUUGCUCUGAUAGCUGGAUUCCUAAGGAAAUCAACUAUAGAUUUCAUAAAGUAUUAAUACUGGCUACAUAAUCAGCAUGAUUUGGCCAGUAUCUAAAAGUCAUUAGGAAGUGCAAGAGGUGUCAAACACACACUGUAUCCAGUGUGUGCUGCUGUCUCCCCUGAAAUCUCCAUGCAGAUCAUUCUGUAUAACUUAAUUAGCGAAGUUAAAAUUAAGAUGAGACUCCAGUGUGUUUAGGCGAAACAAUUUCUGUGAGAGGACACUUCAUUAAAACAUUUAAUAAUGCAACAACUUCUGCUUUUCAAACAGCUCGCUGAAAGAAAAAUAAUAUUUUUUGCCAAUUAAUAAAA